AGAGGGGUGCGAGCGUUAAUCGGAAUUACUGGGCGUAAAGCGCACGUAGGGUGGAGGAACAAGUCGGGAUGUGAAAUUCCUGGGCUCAACCUGGGCAUGUCAUUCGAAACUGUUUAUCUAGAGUAUAGUAGAGGGAAGUGGAAUUUCCGGUGUAGCGGUGAAAUGCGUAGAUAUCGGAAGGAACACCAGUGGCGAAGGCGGCUUCCUGGACUAAUACUGACACUGAGGAGCGAAAGCGUGGGGAGCAAACAGGAUUAGAUACCCUGGUAGUCCACGCUGUAAACGAUGAGUACUAGCCGUUGGGAUGUUAACCAUUUAGUGGCGAAGCUAACGCAAUAAGUACUCCGCCUGGGGAUUACGGCCGCAAGGUUA
rnacentral:rRNA from 1 species